GACGAACGCUGGCGGCGUGCUUAACACAUGCAAGUCGAACGGAAAGGCCCUGCUUUUGUGGGGUGCUCGAGUGGCGAACGGGUGAGUAACACGUGAGUAACCUGCCCUUGACUUUGGGAUAACUUCAGGAAACUGGGGCUAAUACCGGAUAGGAGCUCCUGCUGCAUGGUGGGGGUUGGAAAGUUUCGGCGGUUGGGGAUGGACUCGCGGCUUAUCAGCUUGUUGGUGGGGUAGUGGCUUACCAAGGCUUUGACGGGUAGCCGGCCUGAGAGGGUGACCGGCAACAGGGGGAGAGAGAUGGCGCCCAGUCUCAAGGGGGAGCAGGAGUGGGGAAAUAUGACAGAGUGGGGGGAUGCCAGAUCGAGAAGGCCCGGGGGGGGAAUGGCGGCGUUGGGGUGUUAACCCCCUUCCGCGUGGGAGGAAGUGUGAGUAGGGGUAGUGGGUAAAAAAACACGGGUUAACCACGUC
rnacentral:rRNA from 1 species